rnacentral:lncRNA from 13 species
UUUAUGUGAUAAAUUUCCAAUUCCCAAAAGCUGAAAUGUUGCAGAUUUAAGAAAAACAUACAGGAAGAUUAUGCUAGAAUUGAUACUCAGUUAAUGAACUGUGUAGACUUCAUCAGAGAAAAAGUUGGGAUUAAAAGACGUCCUGGAGUCCUGACCAGAGGGUUUCUAGUGGUGGUUAAAUACCAGGCUCCAGAAGAGGGUAAAGCAGGCAGCUCAACAGGCUGCUAGAAAGAUGGGCAAGUUGGCCUCUUGACUUUAGAAAGAAAGUAAAAUUGGCAAAAAAAGGGGGGGCAAUCUAGAAAAAAAAAAUGAGUGUUCCCUUGGAAUAUUGUGGUAUAGGGCAUCACUCUCUCAGAUAUAAAUGUCAGAAUUUCCAUUUCUGAUAAUAGGGUCAGGACCAAGAAUGGCAUCAACAGACUGUUGACUUGUCCAUCAACCUGUUAGUGGUUUUUGUGGUCUGAUAUCCAACCCAAGCUCCAUUAACAGAUGGAUCUGCCCAUUUAUAGCUUUCAUCUUAAUAAUAAAAAAGCGGAGGACUCAAGAUGGCGCUGUGAGAACAACCCAGGAUUGGAGCUCUCGUUGAAUCCGCAAACAGGUGAGUCGGAGCUGCAUUUACAGACUGAUCUUUGUUGCCCACAGAACGGGGAAACUCCCAAGUAUAAAAAAGACACGGGAUGCCAGGCAGUAGGUCUGCCUGGCGAAGCCGGCAGCCGGGGUGGUGGCGGCCGGCCCUACCUAGCAAUCCCCACAGGGUGCGCUUGUCCAGGUGCCCUGUUGAACCAGCAACCUGAGACUUGAGAGGGCUGGACUUGAGACUGAACGAGACUUGGACAGUAGGCCAGCCCAGGGGAUUGCAGGGACAGAUCGUUUGGGAUACCCAGUGGGACGAACAAAACCGCGAUUUCAAACUAUCCCGAGCAGACAGUCCGAGACGCUCUGUGGGGGAGGGGCGUCCACCAUUACAGAGGCAACCCGCCCCAACUGAGAUACACGCCCACUGCUGAUGCAGCCAGCCAUUGCCGAGGCAACCCGUCCCUACUGAGAUACACGCCCACUGCUGACGCAGCCUGCCGUUGCCGAGGCAACCCGUCCCUACUGAGAUACACGCCCACUGCUGAC